rnacentral:rRNA from 1 species
CAUGUAGGCGGCCCAGCAAGCGUCCUGUGAAAUCCCUCGGCUCAACCGAGGAAUUGCGUGGCGAACUGCUGGACUUGAGGCAGGUAGGGGCGUGUGGAACUCUUGGUGGAGCGGUGAAAUGCGUAGAUAUCAGUUGGAACGCCGGCGGCGAAAGCGAGUCACUGGGCCUGUCCUGACGCUGAGACGCGAAAGCGUGGGUAGCGAACAGGAUUAGAUACCCUGGUAGUCC